UACGAAGGGGGCGAGCGUUGUUCGGAUUUACUGGGCGUAAAGGGCGCGUAGGCGGCCAUCUUUGUCAGGCGUGAAAGCCCCGGGCUCAACCUGGGAACUGCGUCUGGGACGGGGUGGCUAGAGAUCGGGAGAGGAGCGUGGAAUUCCCAGUGUAGAGGUGAAAUUCGUAGAUAUUGGGAAGAACACCGGUGGCGAAGGCGGCGCUCUGGACCGAUACUGACGCUGAGGCGCGAAAGCUAGGGGAGCAAACGGG
rnacentral:rRNA from 1 species